rnacentral:rRNA from 1 species
AAUCAACGCUGGCGGCGUGCCUAACACAUGCAAGUCGAACGCGAAAGCCCUUUCGGGGGUAAGUAGAGUGGCGUCCGGGUGAGUAACACGUAGGUAAUCUGCCUUCGGGUGGGGAAUAACCAGUCGAAAGAUUGGCUAAUACCGCAUAAUGCAGCGGCACCUAAUGGUGAUUAGUUGUUAAAGCGGGGGAUCGUAAGACCUCGCGCCUGAAGAGGAGCCUGCGGCAGAUUAGCUAGUGGUGAGGUAAUGGCUCACCAAGGCUUCGAUCUGUAGCUGGUCUGAGAGGACGGCCAGCCACACUGGCACUGACACACGGGCCAGACUCCUAC